AUUGAACGCUGGCGGCAGGCCUAACACAUGCAAGUCGAAUGGUAACAGGAAACAGCUUGCUGUUUCGCUGACGAGUGGCGGACGGGUGAGUAAUGUCUGGGAAACUGCCUGAUGGAGGGGGAUAACUACUAGAAACGGUAGCUAAUACCGCAUAACGUCGCAAGACCAAAGAGGGGGACCUUCGGGCCUCUUGCCAUCAGAUGUGCCCAGAUGGGAUUAGCUAGUAGGUGGGGUAACGGCUCACCUAGGCGACGAUCCCUAGCUGGUCUGAGAGGAUGACCAGCCACACUGGAACUGAGACACGGUCCAGACUCCUACGGGAGGCAGCAGUGGGGAAUAUUGCACAAUGGGCGCAAGCCUGAUGCAGCCAUGCCGCGUGUAUGAAGAAGGCCUUCGGGUUGUAAAGUACUUUCAGCGGGGAGGAAGGGAGUAAAGUUAAUACCUUUGCUCAUUGACGUUACCCGCAGAAGAAGCACCGGCUAACUCCGUG
rnacentral:rRNA from 1 species